AGCCCAGGCAACAGAGUGAGACUCUGUCUCAAAAAAAAGAAUGCUCAUUCAAGAGAUGGGUCAUUAAAGAAAUUACUUAAAUUCAAAAACUUUCCUCAUUUAUAAAAAACUAGAAUGGUGUUUUUCAGAGUUUUUUGCAAGGGUACUUGGAGUGGAUUUGCACCCAAGCAGCAGCUAGAGUUGUCACAGUUCCAUCUUCAGCUUCACGAUGCUUCCCUUGGCCAAAAACACACUAAGCCGUCUCCAAGUUUGAAACAUGCAGCAAACAAUGGCAAGGCAGAGCCACCAGAAACGAACACCUGAUUUUCAUGACAAAUAUGGUAACGCUGUAUUAGCUACUGGAGCCCCUUUCUGUACUGCUGUAUGGACAUAUGUGGCAACACACAUUGGAAUACAAUGGAACCUGUCCCCUGUUGGCAGAGUCACCCCAAAGGAAUGGAGAGAGGAGUAAUCAUCCCAGCUGAUGUAAUACUGAAUUGUUUAAAAACCAACUCAUAAUUGAUGCCAAGUAAAAUCACUGUGUACCCAUUAAAAUAUGGCAUUACUGAAGAAAUAAAGUACAUCUGAAACCUUUAAAAAAAAACAAAA